CCCUUAGAUGUCCGGGGCUGCACGCGCGCUACACUGAAGGAAUCAGCGUGCUAAAACCAUUGUCGAAAGGCAUUGGUAAACCCAUUAAAAUCCUACGUGAGUGGGAUCGGGAAUUGCAAUUAUUUCCCUUGAACGAGGAAUUCCCAGUAAGUGUGGGUCAUAAGCUCGCGUUGAUUACGUCCCUGCCCUUUGUACACACCGCCCGUCGCUGCCCGGGACUGAGCCGUUUCGAGAAAAGCGGGGACUGCUGCUGUCGGGGCUUUCGGGCCUUGGCUUCGGUGGAAACCGCUUUAAUCGCAGUGGCUUGAACCGGGCAAAAGUCGUAACA
rnacentral:rRNA from 1 species